UUGUAGCAAUCACUUUACUGGUGUUACCAUAUAUCACAUUUUGAGAUUUCAAAGUACUUCAUACAAUUGCCUGAGUAAUCCUAACAAAUCCUAUAAUAUGAGUUGGCAUUAUGAACAUAUUGCAGUUGUGGGUUAAUGGUCUAAAUGCAAAAAUGCCAAAGGAACGAAAUGUAAUAUGGAUGUGAAAGUAUCUUGAUUGCUCUGAUAAAUUGAGGAGCUUAAGCAGACAGCUCUUUUUAUCCAAGGACUCUCACUGGACUGGUAAUGUUGUUGAGAUCUGCUUAGACUAUAAAAGGCUCAGAAAAAAGGGACAAGCGUUCUGCUGCUGGGGGAAAUGAGAGUUGUUUUGACAAUGACCUCAAGGAAGGAAGAGGGUGGAGAAGAAUUGAUUGGGACAUUAUUGUAUGCCAAAGAAAGAUCAAACAUUUGUGCAUACAUCCACAUGUUCUCUGCUUGGACUUCAGCAAAACAGAGUGAAUUGGUGUCAGUGAAAAGACAUGGAAUCAGUUGUUGAAAGAUUCUGAGUCUCAGCGGUAUUUUUCGCAAAAAAAAAAUGCUUUGUUUUUUUAAGACAGAGCGGCUGACCAAACAAACAUAUAAAAACAAAUUCCAGGAUUUGAUAGUUUUCUGCAUUUAAUUAAUCUUGCACAAUAGGAGUCAAA